UUGGAAGACAUUGAUGAUGAUGAUGUAGAGUUCUAUAUGAAGCUGUCUAAAGAGGAAUCAGUGAUUGUCCUUACAGGUGUAGCUGUGGGAAUGAAGAACUGGCCUCGAGUAACUUUUGCCAUUGAUCCACCUUCUCUCGAAGAUGGACUUGGAAGGAUCAAAGCCUUCUACCAGAGGCAUAUGCUAAGAAGGAAUAAAGACUUCAUCUCAGAUCAAUUCAAUGCUUGUUGAAUUUCAUGAUCUGUAAGGUGCCAAUAAACAUUAAGCUGUCUGUUAUUGUAUCCUCAAAAGUUGAGGGAACAAUUCUAUUAAAUGUGUCGACUUCUAGGAACUUAA